rnacentral:rRNA from 1 species
AGAGUUUGAUCCUGGCUCAGAACGAACGCUGGCGGCAGGCUUAACACAUGCAAGUCGAACGCACCGCAAGGUGAGUGGCAGACGGGUGAGUAACGCGUGGGAACGUGCCCUUCAGUUCGGGAUAACCCAGGGAAACUUGGGCUAAUACCGGAUACGUGCGAGAGCAGAAAGAUUUAUCGCUGAAGGAUCGGCCCGCGUCUGAUUAGCUAGUUGGUGGGGUAAUGGCCCACCAAGGCGACGAUCAGUAGCUGGUCUGAGAGGAUGAUCAGCCACAUUGGGACUGAGACACGGCCCAAACUCCUACGGGAGGCAGCAGUGGGGAAUAUUGGACAAUGGGCGCAAGCCUGAUCCAGCCAUGCCGCGUGAGUGAUGAAGGCCUUAGGGUUGUAAAGCUCUUUCGUCCGGGACGAUAAUGACGGUACCGGAAGAAGAAGCCCCGGCUAACUUCGUGCCAGCAGCCGCGGUAAUACGAAGGGGGCUAGCGUUGUUCGGAAUCACUGGGCGUAAAGGGCGCGUAGGCGGCCUGAUAAGUCGGGGGUGAAAGCCUGUGGCUCAACCACAGAAUUGCCUUCGAUACUGUCGGGCUUGAGACCGGAAGAGGUAAGUGGAACUGCGAGUGUAGAGGUGAAAUUCGUAGAUAUUCGCAAGAACACCAGUGGCGAAGGCGGCUUACUGGUCCGGUUCUGACGCUGAGGCGCGAAAGCGUGGGGAGCAAACAGGAUUAGAUACCCCGGUAGUCC